rnacentral:rRNA from 1 species
AGGAGAGAAGGCGGAGAUAAAAGUUCUACCUUAAAUCUUAACGCCCAACGGUUAAGCAGGGUAGAAUACUUUAUCUCUAGAAGAUACUAGAAGCUAACGGAACGUACGGUGUAGGGGUGAAAUCCGUUGAUAUCGUACGGAACGCCGAAGGCGAAGGCAGUUAGCUAUGGUAUUCUUGACGCUGAUCCAUGAAAGCUAGGGGCGCAAACCGGAUUAGAUACCCGGUUAGUCCUAGCUGUAAACUAUGGAUGCUAACUCUGGCGAGUUCGACCCUCGCUGGGGUAAAGCUAACGCGUUAAGCAUCCCGCCUGGGGAGUACGUUCGCAAGAACGAAACUCAAAGGAAUAGGCGGAAGGCUGCACAAGCGGUGGACCAUGUGGUUUAAUUCGACAGUAACCGAAAAAUCUUACCUGGGCUUGACAUAAUAGCCUCCUUUUCCGAAAGGAAAAGGAUGAUUACAGGGUUUUACAGGUGCUGCAUGGCCGUCGUCAGCUCGUGAUGUGAAUCGUAACCUUAAGUGGCACAACGAGCGCAACCCCUAUCCCGUGUUACAGGUGUCACGGGAAACUGCCGAGUAUAACUCGGAGGAAGGUGGGGAUGACGUCAGGUCUGCAUGGCCCUUAUGCCUGGGGCGGCAAACAUGGAACAAUGGCAGGGACAAAGGGAAGCAACGGCGCGAGCCGGAGCAAAUCUCCAAAACCUGCCCCAGUUCGGAUUGAAGGCUGAAACUCGCCUUCAUGAAGGUGGAAUUGCUAGUAA